UGUUAAAAAUUUCAUUCAUUUCUACUGUUAAAAAUUGGUGCAACUGACCAGACAAUUACACAUAGUGUAUCAUGUGUACCUCAUGCUAACUUAUAGGGAUCGAUUUUAAAUUGUAGAGAUGGAUAGAAUUUUUAACU
rfam:Gossypium hirsutum cultivar TM-1 chromosome 4, whole genome shotgun sequence